CCCCCAACCCGGGUGAAGGCCGGCGCCACCACUGCUAGAGGCCAGGGCCUCCCUGCAGCUCUGGGACCUGGGCCAGUGGCUGAGCAGAGCUGGGCUCUGCCUUUUCCUGGCUGGGACCUUUUGCCUCUUCCUUCUCCUUGGCCUUGUUGGCCUCCUUAGCUGACGUUGAAGGGGUGGAGACGGGGAAGUCCCGGAGUAUUCCUCACCCCUGCAAACUUGGGCAGCUGCCCCAGGCUUCCAGCAGCUCCCAGACAGAGCCCCACAAAGAAGGAGCAAUUAGUCCCUUGUAAAGAAAAUACACCUCCACUCGCCUGAAGGCCUGGCCCUUUCAGAGCAGCCCCUCGUGAGGCCGGCUGGUGCUCAGUGAGGCCUGCUGCUUUCUCACACUUCUUCCAGGGAGACCUUCAGGUGCGGCUUCAGAGCCGAUGGAAGCCAGCCUGUUAGUGACCCACGUCACUCACACUCCCCGCUCUUCUCCUGACCGAGCUGGGCUGGUGGCAGAAUCCAGGUCCAGCUGCCUCAGGUGGAUGUGGUGCCAGUGAGGACAGCCGGAGCAUCUGUUCUGGAGACUGUCAGACCCCACUUGCGCUGACUGGUUCCUGUGACUCUGGGCCAGGGCACAGGAAUUUCAGGUUGCACCCUGAUUAGUGGAGCUGUGUCGGGCCCUGACACUAGGACUGCAAAGGCAAGACACAUGAGUUCUAGGCCCCUGUGCAGCUGAUGCACUAGUGAGUGUGUGUGAGGGGAGCGCAGGUUCUGCUCAGCCGUGGGGCGCAGGGGCUCCUGGAGGAGGGGAGCAGGGAUGGGGGGUCCGCAGAGCAGGCCUUCCCCUCCACUCACCCCGUGGCGGGGCUGCCAGGAGCAGCCCUGGCCCUGCACUGGGCAGGCGUUCUCCCCUGUCACCAUCAGCCCACCGUGUGGUGCUGGCUGCUGCGGGGCUGAAGGCCACACCUGGCCGUGGGAGUGCGAAGCUCAGGGCUUGUGGCUGGGAGGCCCGGUCACCUGGCUUCUUGGCUCCUUCCACCUGCUCUCCCUGCUGCCUUCCUGUUGUCCUCCCCGUGCUUGGGGUGGGGUGACUUGCCCCGUUCGGCUGCCUCUAUCCAGGGCAGAGGGCAGAGCUUGUACAAGCUGUCCAGGUGGUUCUGGUACUUGCCCCGGGGCAGUGAGUCUCUCCCUCACAGCCCCUUGUGAUCAGGAGCAGAGAUGAGCCCGGGGAAUCCGCACACACAGCCGGGCUGGGGUUUGAGUCCUGGCUCAGCCGCUGGCCCACUGUGUGAGCUCCUCACUGCUGACUUCACUGGGACUGUUUCCCCACGUGUGAGAUGUCAUAAGACACCUAUCUCGCAGGCCUGCCUGGAGGCUGAAGGGAGACCACGUGCAUGAACCUCUUCCCACGGCUCCUGACUUUCCCAGAUAAGAAAAUUGAGACGCAGAGCCAAAGCCAGCCUAGGAGACUGCGGCGGGAACGAACCGAAGGGAAAGAUUAAAAAGAGCCAGAACCGCCAGUGCCAGCCCUCUCAAGAACCCCCUGGGAACCCUGCCACUGCUGCUCGGGCUGAGCGUGCAGCGGGUCUGGCGCUCUGAGGCAUCUGGGCGCCGCCCGCCUCCGCCCCGCCCCUUGCCCUGGGGUUGUCCAAUCCCAAGGUCUUCAUGUAAAUGAAGCACCUAGAAAGAGCCUAUGCGAGCGGCAGGGGCGUGGUCUUCGUCCACCUUCAAGGCAACGUUCUGAUUCAUUGUUAAAAUAGAAAGGCUGUGACCCCUGGCACCUCACCCCAGCACCCCCUUGUGUGUGGAAACCCGAGCCGAGGUUUGAUGGUGAAGGAGCCAGGAAUCUUCUCCCUGGUUGCCCCAGGGGAGGAUGUGAAAUUCCCCAGCUCUCCGCCAAGAUUGGCAACUAAGGCCAGAUCCCCUGCGACGCUUUGGAGGAAACUCGACAGGCCCCACCAUCGGAUUGCAGGAGCUGCCCUGGCCUGAUUCAACUGAUAUGGAGGGGGUGGCAGGGAAUGCCCCCUGUGACCACUUUGAAGCUAAUGUGCUUGCCCAGAGAUGCUGUCAAAACUGCUUCCACCCUGAGGAGGCCCACAGAGCAAGGCAUCAGGAGCCCGGGAGCCCUCCAAGUGCUGAGGCGCCCUACUGCGACCUGCCGCGCCGCCCAGCCGCCCCUGAGGACCCGCUCGGUGCCUCGACCUCCAACUGCCAGUCUGUGGUGGGUUCGGGCCUUCGGCCAGGGCCUGAAAGGGGCCCAUCAACAGGGCUCCCUGCAGAGGGCCUCACAGCCACCCCCAGGAGCCAGGAACCCGAGGCAGCACCCUACCUGGAGGGCCUGGCCUCCUCCCUGUGCGGCAACUUCAACGAGAGCCCUGACUCUGGCACCAGCUCCAGCCCUGACUGCGAAGCCCCUGAUGAUACCAGCGACUCGUCUUCCGUGGACUGGGACACUGUUGAGAGGCAAGAGGAAGCCCCCAGUGGGGACAAGUUCACCGUGAUGAUCCCACGGAAGCCACAGGAGGGGCCAAGGGCUGACAGUGCCCGAAGGGCUCCUCCUCUCCUCACCCGGUCCCCUGUAGGAGGAGACACUGCAGGCCAGAGAAAGGAGGGCUCUGGUGGUGGGAACCGAAGCGCCGGACAGCACUGGGCGAAGCUCCGGGGAGAAAGCGCGUACUUCUUGGAGCGGCACCGGUCGGCGCUGACCCCGGUCUCUCCCGCGACACCACAGAGUGGUGCUCGAAGUACCACCCCCCAGGCUUCCUCUCUCCAUCGCUCUGCUUCCACACAACUCGAUACCUCCCGAGCCUCCUCUCCCCCACGACUUGCCCAACGGGACAACCCCAGAACCUCAUCCACCCAGCAGGACACCCCCAGGACCUCUUCCACACAGCGGAACACCCCCAGAGCAUCCUCUCCCUCAAGAGUCGCCCAACGGGAUAACCCCAGAACCUCGUCCACCCAACAGGAUACCCCUAGGGCCUCUUCCACGCAACAGAACACCCCCAGAGCAUCCUCUCCCUCAAGAGUCGCCCAACGGGACAACCCCAGAACCUCGUCCACCCAACAGGACACCCCCAAGACCUCUUCCACACAGCGGAACACCCCCAGAGCAUCCUCUCCCUCAAGAGUUGCCCAACGGGAUAACCCCAGAACCUCGUCCACCCAACAGGACACCCCCAAGACCUCUUCCACACAGCGGAACACCCCCAGAGCAUCCUCUCCCUCAAGAGUUGCCCAACGGGAUAACCCCAGAACCUCGUCCACCCAACAGGAUACCCCUAGGGCCUCUUCCACGCAACAGAACACCCCCAGAGCAUCCUCUCCCUCAAGAGUCGCCCAACGGGACAACCCCAGAACCUCGUCCACCCAACGAAAUAAUCCUCAAGUUUCCUUUCCCCCCAGAGCCACCCAACAAGACAACUCCAGAGCCUCUUCUACCCAACAGGACAGCCCUCAAGCUCCUGUCCCUACUUGUACUCCCCAGAGGGACAACCCCAGACCUUCUUGUAUUCAACAGAACACUCCCAGAACCUCUUCUACCCAAAGGGACAACCCCAAAACCUCUUGUGCCCAACGGGACAAUCCCAAAUCCUCUUCCUCACGGCGGGAAAACCCAGGAAGCUCCUCCUCUCAGGGCUGCACCCAACGGGACAAUCCCGGACCUUCCUCUCCCCGUCGUUCCUCUCAGCGGAACAAUCCCAGGAAUUCCUCUCCCCAUCGUACUAACAAAGACAUUCCAUGGGCUUCCUUUCCCCUCCGGCCAACCCAGGGUGAUGGCCCCCGAACCUCUUCCCCAUCUCGCUCCAAGCAAAGUGAGGUUCCCUGGGCAUCCAUUGCCCUCCGGCCAACCCAAAGCGACAGGUCUCAGACCUCAUCUCCCAUCAGACCAGCUCAGCGUGACUCAUCCCAGCGCUCCUCCAGCCCCACCCAGCACAACUCACCAUCCCGGGCCACUUCCUCCUCCCACCCGCCAAGCCACCACAGUGCCUCCCGGACCUCCUCGCCUCUGCACCCUGCUACCCGCGGUGCACCCCAGACCUCUCCGGAGCCCUCCCAGCCCCCCUGCCCUGUGUGCAUUGGGCACCGGGAUGCCCCUCGAGCCUCCUCGCCUCCUCGCUAUUUGCAGCAUGACCCCUUUCCCUUCUUCCCGGACCCCCACGCAUCUGAGAGUGAAUCGCCCCACCAUGACCCCCCCUAUAUGCCCCCAGCCGUAUGCAUUGGACACCGGGAUGCCCCUCGGGCUUCCUCACCCCCCCGCCACACCCAAUUUGACCCCUUUCCCUUCCUCCCAGACACGUCAGAUGCUGAGAACCAGUCCGCCCAGCACGAGCCUCCUCAGUUCCCCCCCACUGUGUGUAUCGGGCACCGUGACGCACCCCGGGCCUCCUCCCCGCCGCGCCAAGCCCCAGAGCCCUCCCUCUUGUUCCAGGAUCUCCCCAGGGCCAGCACCGAGAGCCUUGUCCCCUCCACAGACUCUCUGCACGAGCGCCUCCACAUCCCCAGCCCUGUAUGCAUUGGGCACCGUGAUGCACCCUCCUUCUCGUCCCCGCCCCGCCAGGCCCCCGAGCCCUCCCUCUUCUUCCAGGACCCCACUGCGACUAGCAUGGAGAGCCUGGCCCCCUCCACCGACUCUCUGCGUGGCUCCCCAGUGCUGCCCCCUCAAGUGUGCAUAGGGCACCGGGAUGCCCCUCGAGCCUCCUCUCCACCCCGCCACCCGCCCAGUGACCUAGCGCUCCUGGCACCCUCACCUCCGCCAGGCAGCUCGGGGGGCUCCCGGGGCUCGGCACCCCCGGGUGAGACCAGGCACAACUUGGAGAGGGAGGAAUACACCGUGCUGGCCGACCUGCCCCCACCCAGGAGGCUGGCGCAGAGGGAGCCAGGGCCCCAGUGCAGCAACGGGGGCCGCACCCGCAGCCCUGGCCGCGCAGAGGUGGAGCGCCUCUUCGGGCAAGAGCGCAGGAAGUCCGAGGCACCGGGGGCCUUCCAGACCCGGGAUGAGGGGCGGUCGCAGCGGCCCAGCCAAGUUCAGAGCCAACCUCUCCGAAGACAGUCCAGCCCUGCCCUCAGCAGGGAGGUAACCAAGCCCCUCGCGAAGCAGGCAGAACCGGCCCGGCGGAGCCGAGCAGAGGCCCCUCAUCCCAGGAGCCCCGAGAGGCGGCCUGAGGGGGAGCGGCGGCUCCAGGGGUCCUCGCCACCCCCGAGGACGUCAGCCAGGACUCCUGAGAGGGAGCAGCGGACAGAGAGCCCUCUGGAAAGAGGCCGGGCGGGCCCAAGACGGCCCCUGGGAGGGCAGCAGAGUCUGGAGGGACUGCCAGGAUCCGGGGACCCACACGGACACCUGGAGAGAGGCUGGGGCAGGCAGGAGGGCCCAGGCCUGGGGGGCUGGCUAGGACUUGGUGGGCCCAGGCAGGGGGCUGCCAGAGCCCCAGAGGAAACCUGGAGGGGCCCUCCCAGGGAGUCUGAGGAGAGCUGGAAGCUGCUGGCUGGCCCCCCCUGCCACAGGGGGCAGGCAGAGGCCUGGGAGGAACCCCCCAGUGCUGGGCCAUGGGAGCCCUCUGGCAGGCCAGCUCAGCGGGGCUGGGGCAGCCUGCAGGAGCUGUCCAGUCCUCACCAGCCUAUGAGGCCCCCAGAGAGCUCCAGGGCAGGCCCAGGAGAGUUCUCGAAACCCCGGAGGCCUGAGACCACCCCUGCCACGGGCUGGGGGGCUGAGGGAGCCUGUCCACACCUGCGUGGCCCCGAGAGGCAGCCCGAGCUUGACUGGAGGGACCUGGUGGGCCUCCUCAUGGCCCCCAGAGAGGGGGCCUGGACCCAGUCGGGGGAGCCGACACUCGCCUCCACUCUUCCGAGGCUGGACUGGGAAGGCCUCCUGGAGCUCCUGCAGGCCCAGCUGCCCCGCCGGGACUCGGCUGGACACUGGGGUGGGCCAGGCACAAUUUCCCCAGGCACGAAGGGUACUCUGGAGCUGGAGCCAGAGCGACACACCCAGUCUGAAGGAGGGGCAGGAGCUACUCUGGUCAAUGGAUACAGCCCUGGGCAGUGGCCCCAGAGCUCCGCCCAGCCGCCCAGCCCUGCCGGCAUCUCCACCCAGUGGCCAAAGACCAAAGUGACAAGUGGACCAGAGACCUCAACUAUGGCUGGUCUGGAGGAGACAGGCCAGCUGAGGGGCAGGAGCCCUGCAGAGGGCCCCAGCUCGCUACAAUGGGAGUUCCAAUCAAAGGAGCCUGAGGAGUCAGAAGGAAGCAGAGGCCAAGACUCACUGACUGACCAGAAGCAGGCAGACUCGGCAGACAAGAGGCCAGCGGAGGGCAAGGCUGAGAGCCCACUCAAGGGCCGACUGGUGACCUCAUGGCGGAUGCCCGGGGACCGUCCCACGCUGUUCAAUCCGUUCCUGCUGUCUCUGGGGGUCCUCAGGUGGCAAAGGCCCGAUCUGCUCAACUUCAAGAAGGGAUGGAUGUCAAUCUUGGAUGAACCUGGAGAGUGGAAGAAGCACUGGUUUGUGCUGACCGAUUCAAGCCUCAAGUACUACAGGGAUUCCACUGCUGAGGAGGCAGAUGAGCUGGACGGUGAGAUCGAUCUGCGCUGCUGCACGGACGUCACCGAGUAUGCGGUGCAGCGCAACUAUGGCUUCCAGAUCCACACCAAAGAUGCUGUCUAUACCUUGUCGGCCAUGACCUCGGGUAUCCGGAGGAACUGGAUCGAGGCUCUGAGGAAGACUGUGCGUCCAACCUCAGCCCCAGAUGUCACCAAGCUCUCAGACUGCAAUAAGGAGAACACGCUGCACAGCUACGGCACGCCGAAGGGCUCCCUGAAGGCGGGGGAGCAGCGGGCAGGCUCUGAGGUCAUCGGCUGGGGCGGCCCCCGGAAGGCGGACGGGCAGCGGCAGUCACUGGACUACGUGGAGCUCUCCCCGCUGACUCAGGGCUCCCUGCAGCGGGCCCGCACCCCGGCCCGCGCUCUCGACCGCCCGGCCAAGCAGGAGGAGCUGGAGCGGGACCUGGCCCAGCGUUCCGAGGAGCGACGCAAGUGGUUCCAGGCCACGGACAGCAGGGCCACGGAGACACCGGCCGGCGAGGGUCCGCGCCGGGGCCUGGGUGCCCCCUUGACUGAGGACCAGCAGAACCGGCUCAGUGAGGAGAUCGAGAAGAAGUGGCAGGAGCUGGAGAAGUUGCCCCUGCGGGAGAACAAGCGGGUACCUCUCACCGCCCUGCUCAACCAAAGCCGCGGGGAGCGCCGGGGGGCCCCAAGCGACAGCCAUGAGGCACUGGAGAGGGAGGUCCAGUCCCUUCGUGCCCAGUUGGAGGCCUGGCGUCUCCAAGGGGAGGCUCGGCGUCUCCAAGGGGAGGCUUCUCACGGUGCACCCAGGUCCCAGGAGGACGGCCACAUCCCCCCAGGCUACAUCUCACAGGAGGCGUGCGAGCGCAGCCUGGCGGAGAUGGAGUCUUCGCACCAGCAGGUGAUGGAGGAGCUGCAGCGGCACCACGAGCGGGAGCUGCAGCGGCUGCAGCAGGAGAAGGAGUGGCUCCUGGCCGAGGAGACGGCGGCCACAGCCUCAGCCAUCGAAGCCAUGAAGAAGGCCUACCAGGAGGAGCUGAGCCGGGAGCUGAGCAAGACACAGAGUCUCCCACAGGGCCCGGAUGGCCUCCAGAAACAGCACCAGUCAGAUCUGGAGGCACUGAAGCGGGAGCUGCAGGUGCUGUCAGAGCAGUACUCGCAGAAGUGCCUGGAGAUUGGGGCCCUGACGCGGCAGGCGGAGGAGCGUGAGCACACGCUGCGGCGCUGCCAGCAGGAGGGCCAGGAGCUGCUGCGCCACAACCAGGAGCUGCACGCCCGCCUGUCCGAGGAGAUCGACCGGCUGCGCAGCUUCAUCGCCUCACAGGGCACCGGCAACGGCUGCGGGCGCAGCAGCGAGCGGAGCUCCUGUGAGCUGGAGGUGCUGCUGCGAGUGAAGGAGAAUGAGCUGCAGUACCUGAAGAAGGAGGUACAGUGCCUCCGGGAUGAGCUCCAGAUGAUGCAGAAGGCGCUUCACCUCGGGAAAGUACCAGGACGUGUACGUGGAGCUGAACCACAUUAAGACGCGGUCGGAGCGGGAGAUCGAGCAGCUGAAAGAGCACCUGCGCCUCGCCAUGGCCGCGCUGCAGGAGAAGGAGGCUGUGCGCAACAGCCUGGCCGAGUAGAGGUCCUCGUGGUCCAGCCCUGCUGCAGACCCCCAGCCCAAGGGGACCAAUCUCCCUCCUUCCCUGCUGGAUGGACGUCAGAAGCCAAGCUUUCUCCCCACCCUCUGUGGGCCGCACAUGCACUCACACCCACUAUACACACACACACACACACACACGCACACACGUCCACACACAUACACAUACACACGCACACUCUCUGCGUAUCUGAGCGCGCCCCUAGCACUGGGUCUUACCUUGCACCUUCUUCAGGAUUUUAUAUGUGAAGAGAUUUUUAUAUAGAUUUUUUUUCCUUUUUUUUUUUUCCCCAAACACUUUAUACUUUUUAAAAAGCAAUUCCUGGUGGCGUGUGCCUCUAACACUGGCUCCCCCUGUGUCUCUAGACGCCUGCUUGGGCUUCUGGGCCCACAGCCUGGCCCGGGGUCUAGCGGAGGCCCAGCAGCAGCUAUGGCAGGGUUGACUCUGCUGGGAGAGGCCGGGAGCCAGCCACCCUCUUUCUACCCUACCUCCCACUAACUACUUCCUGCCCUGGGGGGACCUACUCCCUGGGACUCUGGACAGAGGGACUGAUGGACAAAGGGAGCCAGCAGCUGUCCCCAUGGCCCCACCCCCUCCUCUGAGGGGUGCUGGGCAUGGAUCUGCGGGGACCACCCCGUGCAGGCAGGCGUUUCUCUCCUGCUCUGUGAGCCUUAACUUAAUAAAAUGUUCCGGCA